rnacentral:rRNA from 1 species
AUACGUAGGUGACAAGCGUUAUCCGGAUUCACUGGGCGUAAAGGGCGUGUAGGCGGUCUUGCAAGUCAGAAGUGAAAUUCCUGAGCUCAACUCGGGCGCUGCUUCUGAAACUGCAGGACUUGAGUGCUGGAGGGGAUAGCGGAAUUCCUAGUGGAGCGGUAAAAUGCGCAGAUAUUAGGAAGAACACCGGUGGCGAAGGCGGCUAUCUGGGCAGUAACUGACGCUGAGGCGCGAAAGCGUGGGGAGCAAACAGGAUUAGAUUCCCGGGUAGUCCACGCCGUAAACGAUGAAUACUAGGUGUAGGGGGUAUCGACUCCCUCUGUGCCGCAGUUAACACAAUAAGUAUUCCGCCUGGGGAGUACGGCCGCAAGGUUGAAACUCAAAGGAAUUGACGGGG